rnacentral:rRNA from 1 species
GUGGGGAAUAUUGGGCAAUGGGCGCAAGCCUGACCCAGCAACGCCGCGUGAAGGAAGAAGGCUUUCGGGUUGUAAACUUCUUUUACCAGGGACGAAACAAAUGACGGUACCUGGUGAAUAAGCCACGGCUAACUACGUGCCAGCAGCCGCGGUAAUACGUAGGUGGCGAGCGUUAUCCGGAUUUAUUGGGUGUAAAGGGCGUGUAGGCGGGACAGCAAGUCAGAUGUGAAAACCAGAGGCUCAACCUCUGGCCUGCAUUUGAAACUGUUGUUCUUGAGUGUCGGAGAGGUAAUCGGAAUUCCGUGUGUAGCGGUGAAAUGCGUAGAUAUACGGAGGAACACCAGUGGCGAAGGCGGCUCUCUGGUCUGUAACUGACGCUGAGGUUCGAAAGCGUGGGUAGCAAACAGGAUUAGAUACCCGUGUAGUCC